GAGCGGACUUGAUGAGAAGCUUGCUUCUCUGAUGGUUAGCGGCGGACGGGUGAGUAACACGUAGGCAACCUGCCCUCAAGUUUGGGACAACUACCGGAAACGGUAGCUAAUACCGAAUAGUUGUUUUCUUCGCCUGAAGGAAACUGGAAAGACGGAGCAAUCUGUCACUUGGGGAUGGGCCUGCGGCGCAUUAGCUAGUUGGUGGGGUAACGGCUCACCAAGGCGACGAUGCGUAGCCGACCUGAGAGGGUGAUCGGCCACACUGGGACUGAGACACGGCCCAGACUCCUACGGGAGGCAGCAGUAGGGAAUCUUCCGCAAUGGGCGAAAGCCUGACGGAGCAAUGCCGCGUGAGUGAUGAAGGUUUUCGGAUCGUAAAGCUCUGUUGCCA
rnacentral:rRNA from 1 species